GGCCACGCGUCCAGGGGCUCGUCACUCUCACCUGCCCGCCGCGCGGGGCUCGGCCUGGGCUCCGCGGACUCCGCUUGCACCGGACGUGGGCCGGGGCUGCGGGUGGGCACGCUAGAGGACUGAGCCCAGGCCCGCACGGCUGGCCGGGUGGGCACCUGAACUGCAGCUCCGCCAGGCUGCCUGCGGGACUUGAAUUCGCGCUGCUGGGCAGUUUCCGAGAAGACAGAGUCUUUCCCAGGAGGGGAGCGGGGAGACCCCAGGCGGGCAGCGCUCUCCCCACGACGGGGACGCCGCACCAGGAGCUGAGCGCGCGGGACCCCAGGCCCAGGCCCGCGGGGCAGGCAGCCCGCCCGGCGGGGCGGCCCGCCCUCCCCUCCUGCACACCCUGCGUGUGGCUUCCCUCGACGCGGGGCGGGAGCAGGUGAUGCACUGAGGGCCCCGGAGACCCGGCAGGAAAGGCUGGCGGGAGCCCAGCGCCCCCACCCCCCCAGGGGAGCCGGAAGCCCCCAGCCCCCGAGCACCAGCGCGCCCCAGGGAGCAGCCUGUGUGUCCGAAGAGCUGCUGGCCCAGGACAUCGCCACAUGGAGGCAGAGAGUCACAGAGAAGGAGGAGGAGAAAGCAAGGCUGCUGGAGGCGAUCGCCAGGAGGGAGCGGGCCCUGCAGGACGAAGUCACCCACCUGGAGGCCCUGGCUGCGCACCUGCUGAGCGCCCCCCGCCGUCCCCCCUGCUCUGACCCAGGUCUGAGCCCAGCAACCACCUCACCCCGUCUGCGCGGGUGUCGGGGGAGGGGGGGUCGCGUCCAUCCAGCGCUCCCUCGUUCGUCCUGGUGGCGCCUCGAGGCCACAGUGUCUCCUGGGAGUGGAGCGUUGUCCCUCGCCGGGAGCAGUGUUUAAACGUUCAUGUUUUCUCUUAAGUACCCACUGUCCCCAUUGAAACCCUUAGGAAUGUAGCGUAUAGUGUUGUAUUUGGGUGGAAAUUAAAUGCUCCCUGUGACCUGAAGCAUCCUCUCAGUGUGUCCUGCUAGAGAUGUGUGAGACGAUGGGAAUUCUCUGCACAUCAGGCCGCUGUUGACAACGUGGAAGUAACUGCUGGGUAUUGACCUGAGCAAAUUUUGGUUUGUUUGAAAACCUAAACCAAGAAAACCCCAAAACAAAAAACACCAUUAAAAAGGGGAAAAAAAGAAACUGAACUAAAAGAAAAACUUAAGCAAGACGACCUCAUUCUAACUACAUAUUAUUUCUAUUAGCUUAGUUAAUUUCUAGUUUGUCCCAAGUUCAUAACAGUUCUGUGCUAAAGUCAUAGAUUAGAAAAGUUUGAGAGUUUGCAACCACUGUUUCCUGUGUUGUCAUUUCUUGUUCACCUCCCUUGUCUUGUUUCAGAUGGUGUUUGUCAUUUAGCAUUUCUAAGUGUGUGCAGUGACAAUUAACACGCUUUCUUUUGAUGCGAAACACACCCACCCACAAGGCAGAUGCUGGACAAUGUCAGCUGUUCCACACACCCUGAAAGUGUGAGAGGGUUGCCAAUUUCUGGAACUGUUUUACAAUAAAGGUGGUUGAAGAGAA